rnacentral:rRNA from 1 species
UGAAUACGAGAUGCUACGGCGUCGAAGCAGUCUAUGUCAUACUUCCAAGAAAAGCUUGCACUGUCAUAAACAAAUAAUGCCUGUACCAUAACCGACACAGGUGGGUAGGUAGAGUAUACUAAGGGGCGCGAGAUAACUCUCUCUAAGGAACUCGGCAAAAUGACUCCGUAACUUCGGGAGAAGGAGUGCCUUAUUUAUAAGGUUGCAAUAACAAGAUCCAAGCAACUGUUUACCAAAAACACAGGUCUCCGCUAAGUCGUAAGACGAUGUAUGGGGGCUGACGCCUGCCCAGUGCAGAAGGUUAAAGAAGUUGGUUAGCAUCCGCGAAGCUGAUAACUGAAGCCCUGGUGAACGGCGGCCGUAACAAUAACGGUCCUAAGGUAGCGAAAUUCCUUGUCGGGUAAGUUCCGACCCGCACGAAAGGCGUAAUGAUUUGGAUACUGUCUCGGAGAGGGGCUCGGUGAAAUAGACUUGUCUGUGAAGAUGCGGACUACCUGCACCAGGACAGAAAGACCCUAUGAAGCUUUACUGUAACCUGAAAUUGAAAUUGGACUUUACUUGCGCAGUAUAGGUGGGAGGCGUUGAGAAUAUUCUUGCGGGAUUAUUGGAGCCAUCAGUGAGAUACCACUCUUGUAAUGUUAGAUUUCUAACUUUGUAUCAUUAUCUGGUCAAAGAACAGUUUCAGGCGGGCAGUUUGACUGGGGCGGUCGCCUCCUAAACGGUAACGGAGGCGCACAAAGGUUUCCUCUGAACGGGUAGAAAUCGUAUCUAGAGUGUAAAGGCAUAAGGAAGCUUGACUGUGAGACCUACAAGUCGAGCAGGGACGAAAGUCGGUCUUAGUGAUCUGACGGUGCUGAGUGGAAAGGCCGUCACUCAACGGAUAAAAGUUACUCUAGGAUAACAGGCUGAUCUCCCCCAAGAGUUCACAUCGACGGGGAGGUUUGGCACCUCGAUGUCGGCUCAUCGCAUCCUGGGGCGGUAGUACGUCCCAAGGGUUGGGCUGUUCGCCCAUGAAAGCGGUACGCGAGCUGGGUUCAGAACGUCGUGAGACAGUUCGGUCCAUAUCCGGUGUAGGCGUUAGAAUAUUGAGAGGAGCCUUCUUUAGUACGAGAGGACCGAGAAGGACAUACCUCUGGUGUACCAGUUAUCGUGCCAACGGUAAACGCUGGGUAGCUAUGUGUGGAGUGGAUAACCGCUGAAAGCAUCUAAGUGGGAAGCCCACCUCAAGAUAAGUAUUCUCA